AGUGAACGCUGGCGGUAGGCCUAACACAUGCAAGUCGAACGGCAGCACAGUAAGAGCUUGCUCUUACGGGUGGCGAGUGGCACGGGUGAGGAAUACAUCGGAAUCUACUUUUUCGUGGGGGAUAACGUAGGGAAACUUACGCUAAUACCGCAUACGACCUACGGGUGAAAGCAGGGGAUCUUCGGACCUUGCGCGAUUGAAUGAGCCGAUGUCGGAUUAGCUAGUUGGCGGGGUAAAGGCCCACCAAGGCGACGAUCCGUAGCUGGUCUGAGAGGAUGAUCAGCCACACUGGAACUGAGACACGGUCCAGACUCCUACGGGAGGCAGCAGUGGGGAAUAUUGGACAAUGGGCGCAAGCCUGAUCCAGCCAUACCGCGUGGGUGAAGAAGGCCUUCGGGUUGUAAAGCCCUUUUGUUGGGAAAGAAAAGCAGCAGGUUAAUACCCCGCUGUUCUGACGGUACCCAAAGAAUAAGCACCGGCUAACUUCGUG
rnacentral:rRNA from 1 species